rnacentral:rRNA from 1 species
UGCGCAGGCGGAACUUUAAGUCAGUGGUGAAAUCUUGCCGCUUAACGGUAAAAUUGCCAUUGAUACUGAAGUUCUUGAAUAUGGUUGAGGUAGGCGGAAUGUGUUGUGUAGCGGUGAAAUGCAUAGAUAUGACACAGAACGCCGAUUGCGAAGGCAGCUUACUAAACUAUGAUUGACGCUGAGGCACGAAAGCGUGGGGAGCGAACAGGAUUAGAUACCCUGGUAGUCC